rnacentral:rRNA from 1 species
UCCUCCCUCUGGCGUCGUGCUUAACAUAUGCAAGUCGAACGGAAAGGCCCUGCUUUUGUGGGGUGCUCGAGUGGCGAACGGGUGAGUAACACGUGAGUAACCUGCCCUUGACUUUGGGAUAACUUCAGGAAACUGGGGCUAAUACCGGAUAGGAGCUCCUGCUGCAUGGUGGGGGUUGGAAAGUUUCGGCGGUUGGGGAUGGACUCGCGGCUUAUCAGCUUGUUGGUGGGGUAGUGGCUUACCAAGGCUUUGACGGGUAGCCGGCCUGAGAGGGUGACCGGCCACAUUGGGACUGAGAUACGGCCCAGACUCCUACGGGAGGCAGCAGUGGGGAAUAUUGCACAAUGGGCGGAAGCCUGAUGCAGUAACGCCGCGUGCGGGAUGACGGCCUUCGGGUUGUAAACCGCUUUCGCCUGUGACGAAGCGUGAGUGACGGUAAUGGGUAAAGAAGCACCGGCUAACUACGUG